UCUGGCUGGUGAAACAGAUGGAAAUCCAGCAUCUUCCUUCCUACUAGAUGUCUGAUUCCAAAGGGACUACAUGUCAAGAGGGAAACACAGUUACAGAUGAAAGCUGUGACCCAGAAGAACUCCUCCCAUGGAAGAGCAGCACAUGUACCUUCAUGACACUGGGAUGAGACUGUGCUCAUCUUGACUUGGUGACAGUACACUUCUGGAUGGUGCUCAUUUACCCUCUUAAUAAUUUGCAUGAGAAACUAACAUGGUCAGAUUAGGGCUCUUAUUUUGAGCCCCAUGUGAGUGUUAAUCUAAGACACCUGUUGUCCAUCCAGUACCCUGACUACCAAAGCUUCUUCACUGGGAGAAAAAAAAUGUAUCAACUUUUUUUUUUUAAGUGUGGAGAUUUAGCCAUACCUUCAGUUUUUGUAAGCCCCAAAAUCAAAAUUUUGGAGACAGUUCUGUAUAUUUGCCUUUGUGGGUUUUUUGUUUUGUUUUUGGAAUGGAAUCUGGCUAUGUUACCCAGACUGGUCCCCAACUCCUAAGCUCAUGAUCCUCCUGUCUCAGAUUGCUGAGUAGCUGGGUUACAGACUGCACCACUGUGCCCAGCUCUGUACUUGCCUUUUGGGACUCAAGUAGUAGAUUUGAUGUUGUGACCUCAGCCUCCACUUCCCUAUUUCCUCCAUCCCAACAGUUCUUGUAUUCCAUUAGAUGAGACCUAUGUUCUGGGGAAAUAGAUUCUCCACUGGACAGAAGCAGGAGCAGGAAAUCUAGGUGAAACAAAUAUACCCAUCACCUGGCCACAAUCCCUGAUUCAAGCGUUGAGCAUGUGACCUGUGGGUUCGCAGGAAAAACUGUUAUGUGCAGACUACUGUAACAGAGUCACCCUUCAUUCUGAUUUUGGACAGUGUGGUGAUGGUGCAGAUAUAAGGUCUAGAGCAGGGGUGGCCAUCAGUGUCACCAACAGACUGGGCUUGGCCUGGGGCCAUCACUAAUUCAAGAGGCCAUACAUGAGCAGACUGAAGGGAGACAGUGGUGGGCCCGGAAUCACGUCACACCCAAAGCAUACCUACUUCUAGACUCUUUCACUAUUUCCAUGCUUUCCAUUUACUGCUUGGAGGGAGACGCUUGUAACUGGUGGCCAUAUUGUCCUAGGUGGCAAAAAUAAAAGAAGUUCAGAAACAA